AUUGAACGCUGGCGGCAUGCCUUACACAUGCAAGUCGAACGGCAGCACGGGAGCAAUCCUGGUGGCGAGCGGCGAACGGGUGAGUAAUAUAUCGGAACGUGCCCAGUCGUGGGGAUAACGUAGCGAAAGCUACGCUAAUACCGCAUACGAUCUAUGGAUGAAAGCGGGGGAUCGCAAGACCUCGCGCGAUUGGAGCGGCCGAUAUCAGAUUAGGUAGUUGGUGGGGUAAAAGCCUACCAAGCCUUCGAUCUGUAGCUGGUCUGAGAGGACGACCAGCCACACUGGAACUGAGACACGGUCCAGACUCCUACGGGAGGCAGCAGUGGGGAAUUUUGGACAAUGGGCGCAAGCCUGAUCCAGCAAUGCCGCGUGCAGGAUGAAGGCCUUCGGGUUGUAAACUGCUUUUGUACGGAACGAAACGGUUCUCUCUAAUACAGGGGGCUAAUGACGGUACCGUAAGAAUAAGCACCGGCUAACUACGUG
rnacentral:rRNA from 1 species